rnacentral:tRNA from 3 species
UAGCGGUGUUAGGGCACUAAGAAUUUUGAUUUCUUAAGAGAGGUUCAAUUCCUCCUGA